rnacentral:rRNA from 1 species
UCGCCCAUGAAAGUGGUACGCGAGCUGGGUUCAGAACGUCGUGAGACAGUUCGGUCCCUAUCCGUCGCAGGCGUAGGAAAUUUGAGAAGACCUGUCCUUAGUACGAGAGGACCGGGAUGGACGUACCGCUGGUGUACCAGUUGUUCUGCCAAGGGCAUGGCUGGGUAGCUAUGUACGGAAUGGAUAAGCGCUGAAAGCAUCUAAGCGCGAAGCCAACUUCAAGAUAAGAUUUCCCACCG